AUUGAACGCUGGCGGCAGGCCUAACACAUGCCAGUCGAGCGGAUGAAGGGAGCUUGCUCCUGGAUUCAGCGGCGGACGGGUGAGUAAUGCCUAGGAAUCUGCCUGGUAGUGGGGGAUAACGUCCGGAAACGGGCGCUAAUACCGCAUACGUCCUGAGGGAGAAAGUGGGGGAUCUUCGGACCUCACGCUAUCAGAUGAGCCUAGGUCGGAUUAGCUAGUUGGUGGGGUAAAGGCCUACCAAGGCGACGAUCCGUAACUGGUCUGAGAGGAUGAUCAGUCCCACUGGAACUGAGACACGGUCCAGACUCCUACGGGAGGCAGCAGUGGGGAAUAUUGGACAAUGGGCGAAAGCCUGAUCCAGCCAUGCCGCGUGUGUGAAGAAGGUCUUCGGAUUGUAAAGCACUUUAAGUUGGGAGGAAGGGCAGUAAGUUAAUACCUUGCCGUUUUGACGUUACCAACAGAAUAAGCACCGGCUAACUUCGUG
rnacentral:rRNA from 1 species